UUGGAGGGCAAGUCUGGUGCCAGCAGCCGCGGUAAUUCCAGCUCCAAUAGCGUAUAUUAAAGUUGCUGCAGUUAAAAAGCUCGUAGUUGAAUUUCGGGACCAUCAUGUCGGUCGUGCCUCGGUACGUACUGGUAUUGUUGGUUUCUCCCUUCUGACGAACCAUGAUGUCAUUUAUUUGGUGUUGUGGGGAAUCAGGACUGUUACUUUGAAAAAAUUAGAGUGUUUAAAGCAGGCUCACGCUUGAAUACAUUAGCAUGGAAUAAUGAAAUAGGACGUUUGAUUCUAUUUUGUUGGUUUCUAGGAUCGACGUAAUGAUUAAUAGGGAUAGUUGGGGGCAUUAGUAUUCAAUUGUCAGAGGUGAAAUUCUUGGAUUUAUUGAAGACUAACUACUGCGAAAGCAUUUGCCAAGGAUGUUUUCAUUAAUCAAGAACGAAAGUUAGGGGAUCGAAGACGAUCAGAUACCGUCGUAGUCUUAAUCAUAAACUAUGCCGACUAGGGAUCGGAUGAUGUUAAUUUUUUAAUGACUCAUUCGGCGCCUUACGGGAAAC
rnacentral:rRNA from 1 species